rnacentral:hammerhead_ribozyme from 1 species
AUCCAGCUGACGAGACGCGAAUAGGACGAAACGCGCGUCCUGGAU